GACGAACGCUGGCGGCGUGCUUAACACAUGCAAGUCGAACGGAAAGGCCCUGCUUUUGUGGGGUGCUCGAGUGGCGAACGUGUGAGUAACACGUGAGUAACCUGCCCUUGACUUUGGGAUAACUUCAGGAAGCUGGGGCUAAUACCGGAUAGGAGCUCCUGCUGCAUGGUGGGGGUUGGAACGUUUCGGCUGUCGGGGAUGGACUCGCGGCUUAUCAGCUUGUUGGUGGGGUAGUGGCUUACCAAGGCUUUGACGGGUAGCCGGCCUGGGAGGGUUACCGGCGACAAUGGGACUGAGAUACGGACCAGACGCCUACGGGAGGCAGAAGGGGGGAAUAUUGCACAAUGGGCGGAAGCCUGAGGCAGCAACGCCGCGUGCGGGAUGAGGGCCUUCGGGUUGUAAACCGCUUUCGCCUGUGACGAAGCGUGAGUGACGGUAAUGGGUAAAGAAGCACCGGCUAACUACGUG
rnacentral:rRNA from 1 species